rnacentral:rRNA from 1 species
GACGAACGCUGGCGGCAGGCCCAACACAUGCAAGUCGAGCGGAUGAGGAGUGCUUGCACUCCGAUUCAGCGGCGGACGGGUGAGUAAUGCCUAGGAAUCUGCCCGAUAGUGGGGGACAACGUUUCGAAAGGAACGCUAAUACCGCAUACGUCCUACGGGAGAAAGUGGGGGAUCUUCGGACCUCACGCUAUCGGAUGAGCCUAGGUCGGAUUAGCUAGUUGGUGAGGUAAUGGCUCACCAAGGCUACGAUCCGUAACUGGUCUGAGAGGAUGAUCAGUCACACUGGAACUGAGACACGGUCCAGACUCCUACGGGAGGCAGCAGUGGGGAAUAUUGGACAAUGGGCGAAAGCCUGAUCCAGCCAUGCCGCGUGUGUGAAGAAGGUCUUCGGAUUGUAAAGCACUUUAAGUUGGGAGGAAGGGCUGUAGGCUAAUAUCCUGCAGUUUUGACGUUACCAACAGAAUAAGCACCGGCUAACUUCGUGCCAGCCGCCGCAGUAA